rnacentral:rRNA from 1 species
GACGAACGCUGGCGGCGUGCUUAACACAUGCAAGUCGAACGGAAAGGCCCUGCUUUUGUGGGGUGCUCGAGUGGCGAACGGGUGAGUAACACGUGAGUAACCUGCCCUUGACUUUGGGAUAACUUCAGGAAACUGGGGCUAAUACCGGAUAGGAGCUCCUGCUGCAUGGUGGGGGUUGGAAAGUUUCGGCGGUUGGGGAUGGACUCGAGGCUAAUCAGCUUGUUGGUGGGGUAGUGGCUUACCAAGGCUUUGACGGGUAGCCGGCCUGAGAGGGUGACCGGCCACAUUGGGACUGAGCUACGGCCCAGCCUCCUACGGGAGGCAGCAGUCGGGAAUAUUGCACAAUGGGCGGAAGCCUGAUGCAGCAACGCCGCGUGCGUGAUGACGGCCUUCGGGUUGUGAACCGCUUUCGCCUGUGACGAAGCGUGAGUGACGGUAAUGGGUAAAGAAGCACCGGCUAACUACGUG